UACGUAGGGUGCAGGCGUUAAUCGGAAUUACUGGGCGUAAAGCGCGCGCAGGCGGUCUUCCAAGUCAGUGGUGAAAGCCCGGAGCUCAACUCCGGAACUGCCAUUGAAACUGUGAGACUUGAGUAUGAGAGAGGCGAGUGGAAUUCCUGGUGUAGCGGUGAAAUGCGCAGAUAUCAGGAGGAACACCGAUGGCGAAGGCAGCUCGCUGGGACGGUACUGACGCUGAGGCGCGAAAGCGUGGGGAGCAAACAGG
rnacentral:rRNA from 1 species